rnacentral:rRNA from 1 species
UACGUAGGCGGAUUAGAAAGUAUGGGGUGAAAUCCCAGGGCUCAACCCUGGAACUGCCUCAUAAACUACUAGUCUAGAGUUCGAGAGAGGUGAGUGGAACUCCGAGUGUAGAGGUGAAAUUCGUAGAUAUUCGGAAGAACACCAGUGGCGAAGGCGGCUCACUGGCUCGAUACUGACGCUGAGGUACGAAAGUGUGGGGAGCAAACAAGAUUAGAUACCCUGGUAGUCC